GUCUCAGUUUGCCUCUCUAAACCCUCAAAAUAGCUAAAAUCAUACAAGAACCAGACAGCCGCAUACCCACAACCUCAAAUCGGCAACGCUUUUUCUCAUCCAAUCCAACUCGUCGGCGCCGCUCUCUAAUUUCGUCUCUUCCAAUCCAUCCUCAAAUCGGCGGCUCACUUAUAUCCAAUCCAACUCGGCGGCGCUUCAACUCUUCCUGUACGACUCGGUGGCACUUCUUUUCUGCCAUUCUAAAUCGGUGGAACCACCCACAAUCUUCAGGCUUACAAACACUUGUUUUAAUAAGUGCGUUGAGAAAAGGUACAAGGAGUCUGAACUAAAUAUGGGUGAAAAUAGUUGCAUUGAUCGCUGCGUAUCAAAAUAUUGGCAUGUGACUAAUCUAAUCGGCCAGCUGCUAGGUUCAGGUCGGCCCCAAAUGUGAAAUUAAGGCUAUUCUGAAAUUUGCUCUACAUUAGUUACGUGUUUACCUGGCUGGUUGCCAAAGGUUGAUACUGGAAUGAUUUUUGUUUGUACCAAACUUUAUGACGUGGUUCCAUUUUGUUUUUUUAAAAAAAAGUAUUGGCAGCAAGUUGAAUUUAUGCUGCUCCUAGAUUUAAGUCAUAAAAUUGUUAGCUCUUCAUAAAUGAAAUAUUAUUCUUGGAAAAAUCAUCAGUAUUUGUGAUGAUUCUAUAACAUGUUGAAUUGUUUUU